rnacentral:rRNA from 1 species
UACAGAGGUCUCAAGCGUUGUUCGGAUUCAUUGGGCGUAAAGGGUGCGUAGGCGGCGCGGUAAGUCGGGUGUGAAAUCUUGGAGCUUAACUCCGAAACUGCAUUCGAUACUGCGGUGCUUGAGGACUGGAGAGGAGACUGGAAUUUAUGGUGUAGCAGUGAAAUGCGUAGAGAUCAUGAGGAAGACCAGUGGCGAAGGCGGGUCUCUG